rnacentral:snoRNA from 1 species
ACUGGAGGACUAAUUAGACUGAGUCUGAAGAGUGAGACUCAGGUGACAGAAGCCUCCUAAAAGAAAAGGGAUGGAGAGAGCGGUCCUACUUCCAGAAAAGCAACGGCUGACUGUGCCAUCCCACACAU